rnacentral:rRNA from 1 species
GAGUUUGAUCAUGGCUCAGAACGUACGCUGGCGGCACGCCUAACACAUGCAAGUCGAACGAAGUAGCAAUACUUAGUGGCAGACGGGUGAGUAACAUGUAGGUAUCUGCCCUUUGGCCUGGAAUAACACGAGGAAACUUGUGCUAAUACCGGAUAAGUCUUUACGGAGAAAGCUUUAUGCACCAUUGGAUGAGCCUGCACUUGAUUAGUUUGUUGGUGGGGUAAUGGCCUACCAAGACUGUGAUCAAUAGCUGAUUUGAGAGGAUGAUCAGCCACAUUGGGACUGAGACACGGCCCAAACUCCUACGGGAGGCAGCAGUGGGGAAUCUUGCACAAUGGAGGAAACUCUGAUGCAGCGAUGCCGCGUGAGUGAAGAAGGCCCUUGGGUUGUAAAGCUCUUUCGUCGGGGAAGAAAAUGACUGUACCCGAAUAAGAAGGUCCGGCUAACUUCGUGCCAGCAGCCGCGGUAAUACGAAGGGACCUAGCGUAGUUCGGAAUUACUGGGCUUAAAGAGUUCGUAGGUGGUUGAAAAAGUUAGUGGUGAAAUCCCAGAGCUUAACUCUGGAACUGCCAUUAAAACUUUUCAGCUAGAGUAUGAUAGAGGAAAGCAGAAUUUCUAGUGUAGAGGUGAAAUUCGUAGAUAUUAGAAAGAAUACCAAUUGCGAAGGCAGCUUUCUGGAUCAUUACUGACACUGAGGAACGAAAGCAUGGGUAGCGAAGAGGAUUAGAUACCCUCGUAGUCCAUGCCGUAAACGAUGUGUGUUAGACGUUGGAAAUUUAUUUUCAGUGUCGCAGGGAAACCGAUAAACACACCGCCUGGGGAGUACGACCGCAAGGUUAAAACUCAAAUGAAUUGACGGGGACCCGCACAAGUAGUGGAGCAUGUGGUUUAAUUCGAAGAUACGCGCAGAACCUUACCAACACUUGACAUGUUCGUCGCGACUCUAAGAGAUUAGAGUUUUCGGUUCGGCCGGACGAAACACAGGUGCUGCAUGGCUGUCGUCAGCUCGUGUCAUGAGAUGUUGGGUUAAGUCCCGCAACGAGCGCAACCCUCACUUUUAGUUGCCAUCAUUAAGUUGGGCACUCUGAAAGAACUGCCAGUGAUAAGCUGGAGGAAGGUGGGGAUGACGUCAAGUCCUCAUGGCCCUUACGUGUUGGGCUACACACGUGCUACAAUGGUAUCUACAACAGGAAGCAAGACUGCGAAGUUAAGCAAAUCCCUAAAAGAUACCUCAGUUCGGAUUGCACUCUGCAACUCGAGUGCAUGAAGCUGGAAUUACUAGUAAUCGUGGAUCAGCGUGCCACGGUGAAUGCGUUCCCGGGUCUUGUACACACCGCCCGUCACACCAUGGGAGUUGGUUCUACCUUAAGGCAAGGUUUCAAACCCUUGACCACGGUAUAGUCAGCGACUGGGGUGAAGUCGUAACAAGGUAACC